rnacentral:rRNA from 1 species
CCUACGGGAGGCAGCAGUCGAGAAUCAUUCACAAUGGGGGAAACCCUGAUGGUGCGACGCCGCGUGGGGGAAUGAAGGUCUUCGGAUUGUAAACCCCUGUCAUGUGGGAGCAAAUUAAAAAGAUAGUACCACAAGAGGAAGAGACGGCUAACUCUGUGCCAGCAGCCGCGGUAAUACAGAGGUCUCGAGCGUUGUUCGGAAUCACUGGGCGUAAGGCGUGCGUAGGCUGUUUCGUAAGUCGUGUGUGAAAGGCGCGGGCUCAACCCGCGGACGGCACAUGAUACUGCGAGACUAGAGUAAUGGAGGGGGAACCGGAAUUCUAGGUGUAGCAGUGAAAUGCGUAGAGAUGGAGAGGAACACUCGUGGCGAAGGCGGGUUCCUGGACAUUAACUGACGCUGAGGCACGAAGGCCAGGGGAGCGAAAGGGAUUAGAUACCCCUGUAGUC